UACGUAGGGGGCAAGCGUUGUCCGGAAUCAUUGGGCGUAAAGAGCGUGUAGGCGGCCCGAUAAGUCCGCUGUGAAAGUCCAGGGCUCAACCCUGGAAUGCCGGUGGAUACUGUCGGGCUCGAAUCCGGAAGAGGUGAGUGGAAUUCCUGGUGUAGCGGUGAAAUGCGUAGAGAUCCGGAGGAACGACCAGUGGCGAAGGCGACACGCUGGGCCGUACCUGACGCUAAAGCGCGACAGCAUGGGGAGCAAACGGG
rnacentral:rRNA from 1 species